rnacentral:tRNA from 1 species
GAAAGUGGCUCAGUUGGUAGAGCAUCACCUUGCCAAGGUGAGAGUCGCGGGUUCGAGUCCCGUCUUUC